GUUGGUGCUUCGUCAGAAGGGAUACACCCGUUCUCAUUCCGAACACGGCAGUUAAGCCUUCUAGAACCGAUGGUACUUAGCGUUUCAGCUAGGGAGAGUAGGUAGGCGCCAACA
rnacentral:rRNA from 1 species